CCAAAAGCAUGUAUUUGGAGGGCCCCAACACACUCAGAAUGACAGAAUGUUAGAUUUUCUUUGCUUCAUCUUUAAAGGCUCUCUUUCACAAGUCAGCCAUUUACCCUGGAGCUCAUCGCAUUGUAAAGAUGUGCCAGGACCCCUAUUCCCUAGGGUUUCCCCAUUAGCAGAUUAGUAGCUGCUGAUAUCUAGUUAUAUAUGCAUCUCUUAGCAGAUGGAUCCGUUGAUAAACCGGAAAAAACAAUGGAUAGAGCACUGGCCCCCGGAGUCAGGAGUACCUGAGUUCAAAAACAGCUUCAGACACAUAACACUUACUAACUGCGGGACCCUGGUGAGAAAGAAUUGCCCUGUACCAACAUCCAUUAGUGUUUCCUGGUGGACCAGCUAGGACCUACCCCUCCCUGGGAGCCCUGUGUAAAGGAGCUGGGACCUGACUCUGCCUCCUUCUAUGAUGGUGGAAAGAUACAAAGUGAUAUGAAAGGCAACAAAGCCAUGUGCUCUAUUUCCCGUGUGUAUUAGCCAUUUCUGCUGGCAUUGAGAGAAAAUGAUCCUAGGAUUCUUUGAGAGGAAGUUCACAGUGUGGUGGUGCAAGGAGUAGAGUCUCUGAUCUGGCCUUGAAAUGUGAUUCAUGUGGAUCUAGGAGUCUAGAAAUAUAAGCUAUCCCAGCAACAACAUCCUGAGGAGCUUGGGUCCUGAACUGCAUUCCAGCAGAAGUUGGCACAGCUUUGUACUUGAACUUGAUGGGACUAAUGCUAUGUAAGAAUUGAGCUAAUCUAUGAGCCUGAUCUUCUCUAUCUUCCUCCCCAGACACCAAUGUAGUGUAGGGGGAAUACAUGCUGGAGGUAUUAUGGGAAAAUGUUUGUAUUCUUAUUCUUGCUAUAUUUUUGAAGUAAUGUUACUCCUAAGAAUGAGGGGAAGAUAGCUGGUGGGGGAUUGAGCUGAUAUCAAAGUAAAGAGACUCCAGCCCCUUAAGGGUACUAGAGAACCCUGAGGGGGAUAAAGUAUAAUAGGCUAGGACCUUAGAAAGUGAGGCCAGAAUCAACAUGUUAUACAAGCUCAAUUCGUCCUUUGUUAUCUGUCCUUGACUUCAGUCUCCAAAGUAAUGCUCAUUAACCAAGACUUCUUUCCUAUAAAGAACAUUCACAAGUAGUUCUGCUUUCCACUGAAAUUACUUCAAAGAAUACAAACUUAUACAUAACUUUUGUCUAUUGGGCUUUCAAAUUUGGAGAGUUGGGAAUUAUGGAGAGUUAUCACCACACAGCCAUUAAACUAGUACCAGAGGCUAAUUAUUUAAUUUGGCCAAUAGAGUAACCAAGACAAGCUAUGUUGCAUUUAGGGUGAGAAGGAAUCAGUGCUAUUUCUGGAAACUUUAUCCUUGUGGCUUAAUUCUGUGAGAAUUUCCCUAUCAUUAGUUACUGAGUCCGGCCUACUAAACAGGAAGUAAUCCAAGAAAUGAGAGGUAACAGGUUAAUUUGAAAUUGAAAAACUCUUAUCUCUAAAUCCAGGGGUUGCAGGGAUACCAGAAAGCAAUAAAUUAUUAGGGUGGCUAUUUUCAUGGGCCAAUGGUAAUUUAAAUUCUUUCCUGGACAUUAUUCCAUGGAAUGAUUCAAAAUUCCAAUAACUAUUGCUCUUGUAAACAAGGCUGUCAUUAGUUGCUUCUAUUAUCAUCCUGGCAUAUUACUGAACAUUUAUUCAUUACUGUUUACUCAGCCACCUUCAUCUUGCCUCUCCAUAGGUAAGAUUCCUUUCAUUAUGCAACAUAAGCCUCUGGCAUCUAAAGGCAAUAAGGAAGUUUUGCAAACAUGAUGAUACUAUCACUGAAAUUUGGUGCUCAUCAAAUUAUCCAAUAAUAGCUACCCAUGGGAUUAUAAACUAGAUGUUUAAGUUAGGAAGAGCUAAGAAAGCCAGCUAUCCUUUUCCAUUUUUGAGGGAAGGGUGUUUCCCUUAAUUUUAGAGUUAUCAGAACUCACCUAAUUGCAUUCCUCUUCUAUGUCUUACUUGGAAUGAGAGUAAUAGUAGUGCUAAGAGCAAUGAAAAUGAUGAGACUUGGAAAACAUUCUGUCUCUGUCUCAAGUUAUUCCUGUUUGGCGAGACAAUGAAUCAAGACUCAUUCCUGCUCUCCAGCGCUGGCUCAUAUGUUUAUACGAGCAGUCUGUUGACAACUUCCUCCUGGUGUAAGUCAGAAAAGUCAGCAUUUGGGCAGUCAAGUUUAGGUGGCUGGAUUUCAGCUUUGGAUUCAUAUCCCCUAUGUUGAUAUAUUUGAUAAAUAAAAGGCAACCAGACUCCCCUGCUGUUGACUUGGGAAUCCAGAAAACCUUUGUACCCUCCCAAAUGAGUGAUGACAGUAAGCAGUUAAGGCUUAUGCCUCCUAGCAUGCCCAUCAGAUUAUGUGAUCUCUAAAUGAAUUUUAGACUUCCCAGUACUUUGAAAUAUCACUUGAGAAACAAAACAUAAGGAAUGUUAAUAUAAGUAAUAUAAAUAUGCUAAUAGCAAUUGACUUGGAACUUUUAGGAUUGGGGCUAUAUGUCAAAGAAGUUAUUGAUAGCAAGAACCUAUGUGUAAAAAAUGUUUAUAGCAGCAUUAUUUUUAACGAAAAACUGGGAACAAAACAAAUGGAAAAUGGCUGAAUAAAUCACAGUAUUUAAAUAACGAAAUUUUGCUACACCAGAAGGAGUGACAAAUAUGAAGAAUUCCUCCCUCCUUGGAGUAUGGGGAUUUGUUUGGAGGACGUGAAUUGGAUUAGAUAGUCACUGAGGUCCCUUCCAACUCUAAAAUUCUAUAAUUCUGUAAUCCAGAGAAACAGGAGAUGACUUUAUUCAUUUGACACUGUGUGCCAAGUAUUGUUCUAGGUACUGGAAUUAUAUAGGCAAAAUGAAACAAUUCCUGUCCUCAAGGAGCACAUUCUACCAGGUGAAAUAACAUGCACAUAUGUCAGCAAAUAUAAAAUAUAUCCAAGUUAUAUUCCCAAUUGUGGUGGAGAAGAUACUGUUACCAAGAGUUAUCACCACACCAUUCUGGUGCAGGCCUUCACCUCAUGCCUAUACUAUUGCAGUAGCCUCCAUGCCUGCCUCAAGUCUUUCCCCACUCCAAUCCAUUCCCCAUUAGGCCACUAAAGUGAUUUUCCCAAAAUAUGGGUCUGAUCAUCACUCCACAUCCCCUACUCAGCAGACUACAAUGGCUCCCUAUUGACUCAAAUACAAAAUCCUCUGCUUGGAAAAAGCCCUUCAUAGUGUGACCCCCUCCUACUUUUGUAGUUUUCUUAUACCUUAUUUCUUGCUACAUACUUUUUGGUCUAGUGACACUGAUCUCCUUGUGGUUCCCAAACAAAACACUCCAUUUUUCAGCUCUGGCCAUUUUCUCUGGUUGUGUCUCA